AGAGUUUGAUCAUGGCUCAGGAUGAACGCUGGCGGUCUGCUUAACACAUGCAAGUCGAACGAAUCCCUUCGGGGAUGAGUGGCGGACGGGUGAGUAACGCGUGAGAAUCUACCAAAAGGACUGGGACAACCACUGGAAACGGUGGCUAAUACCGGAUGAGCCGCAACGUAAAAGAGGAAACUCGCCUUUUGAUGAGCUCGCGUCUGAUUAGCUAGUUGGUAGGGUAAAGGCCUACCAAGGCACCGAUCAGUAACUGGUCUGAGAGGAUGGCCAGUCACACUGGGACUGAGACACGGCCCAAACUCCUACGGGAGGCAGCAGUGGGGAAUUUUCCGCAAUGGGCGCAAGCCUGACGGAGCAAUACCGCGUGGGGGAGGAAGGCUCUUGGGUCGUAAACCUCUUUUCUCAGGGAAGAACACAAUGACGGUACCUGAGGAAUCAGCAUCGGCUAACUCCGUGCCAGCAGCCGCGGUAAUACGGAGGAUGCAAGCGUUAUCCGGAAUGAUUGGGCGUAAAGCGUCCGCAGGUGGCAGUGAAAGUCUGCUGUCAAAGGUCAGGGCUUAACCCUGAACAGGCAGUGGAAACUACACAGCUAGAGUGCGGUGGGGGCAGAGGGAAUUCCCAGUGUAGCGGUGAAAUGCGUAGAGAUUGGGAAGAACACCGGUGGCGAAAGCGCUCUGCUAGGCCGCAACUGACACUCAUGGACGAAAGCUAGGGGAGCGAAUGGGAUUAGAUACCCCCGUAGUCC
rnacentral:rRNA from 1 species